UUAAGGUUUAGGUUUAGGUUAUAAGCUAUAGGUUUAGGGAAUUGAGAAUAGGUUAAGGUUUAGGUUUAGGAAAUCGGGUUCGGGUUCGGGAUCUGGUUUAGGUUUUGAUUUUCAAGUUUCGGUUUAGGUUUAGGUUUAGGUUAGAGAGUUGAGAUUAGGAUUAGGUGUAGGUUUAAGUUUAGGGAUUUGAGAAUAGGUUAAUGUUUAGGUUUAGGAAAUCGGGUUCGGGUUCAGGAUCGGGUUUAGGUUUAGGUUUUCAUGUUUAGGUUUA